AAAUGUUAAAACUUAAAAAGGGGAAACCCUAACCCUAGCGCCGCACCCCUUCGCCUCUUCCUCUCCUUCUUCACAUAUCAACUGGCCGAUCCCUCUCCCCUCCCUAUAUAAACGCAACCACCCAAGCGCUUAAUCAGCCAGUUCGCCCACUUCGCUUAGGCAUUUACGUGCGGAUCAAUCAAUUCCCAUAUGACUCGUUCCCUUGAAGCAACAGUGCCAGAGGUAUGAACUGGGUUCAGCGCAAGAUCUAUCUUUACAAUGUCACUUUUGGGCUCUACAUGUUGGAUUGGUGGGAGCGUUAUCUUUUCAAUACUUUGGUGGUCGUGUUGAUGUGGUUCGUUCUUUACAACGGAUCUCGAUAUGUAACUGAGUUCUGCAAGAGGCAUUUAUGGUGAGGAUGAGAGCAAGAGUCAACUUAAAGGAUGGCAAGUUCAGAUAUGUUGCAGAAGAUUUAAUGCUGCUACGAUAUAUCUCACUGUGAUUGGAAUGGAGUUGAGAGUAUCUUAAGUUUUUACAGAACUACUUUUGCAUAGUCCUGCAUGUAUUAUUAUACUUCUUGUCAUGAAGAUUUUCAGACCAUUUUCUUAGGCUUUCAGGUUCACCUA